rnacentral:lncRNA from 1 species
CAUCUGGGCGUGCACGGUUCAGCACCUUGAGGAAGUCAGACGUUUGUGCCCGCACACGGGUGUGCAUACAGGCCUCAGAGCACUCGAUGUGGUAAUGCAGCAAGCCCAGGGGAGGGUCUCUGUGGCUGGAGAGGACCUGAGGGACUGUGUGACCGGCUCUGCGGCCUUAGAACUCCUGCAAGAACAUCUGUCCUAGGACCACAUCAUCGUCAUCCUUAAACAUGGUGCUGAAGACUGCUGAGUCUGUCCUUUUUACACCCAGCAUACACGGCCUCCUCACCCCUAGGACGGAUAGCUGCCCUGUUCUCUCCUUCUCUGCCUUCUUCUUGGAAUUGGAAGUAUUUCUCAAAGGCAGAGGCAAAACGGCUCCACGUCCACAUGCCAGCCUGAUGUACGUGGAAUCCUCUCUGCAGGCAGACUAUGGAGGUCGGCUAGCAAAGAGACACUCCAUCCUGAUUCUGGAUUCACCAGGAAACCCCUGCACAUCGUUUUUAAUGACUCCUGAGCGCCAUGUGCCUGAAGUUCUUUGUAGAAAUCCCAUCGCCUUGGUGUUCUCUCCAUUAGGAUUUGAAAUACGAUGGAGGACGCCAUCAGAAUCUGCAGAUGUUACUUCUGCUCCUGGUUUGUUUCCUGCUGCCGCGUUCUCGACCUGGAGAGCGAGCGUCUCCUCCACGAUGCGGUUGUUCACCUCCUGCAUGGUCUACCUUGGCGGCAGCCGGCCCCGGAAGCCUCAGCCGCCUCGCCUCGCCGAUAAGGUUUCUGCCUGGGCUAAUUGA